GGAAGAGUGGCCUUAUAAAAACAGACACUCCAAAGCUUCCUCCUGCCCCCUUUCUGCUCAGACACCAAAGAAAAACCCUGGGAGGACACAGAAAAAGGCAGCUGUGUGCAGACCAGGAAGAGGGUCCUCACCAGAACCUAGCCAAGCUGGUGCCUUUCUCACACUCCUCUCAGACUUCCAGCCUCUACAACGGUCUUGAUGGUUCAUAAUCUGAAGAACACAUGUGUCCUCUGUGGCUGAGAACGGACCCCGAGGGACUUCACCUGGAAGCCUCUGUGUUCCCUAAGCUUGCUCAGUCAUUCUACCUCCAGUUUGCAGCAUCCUUUACCUUAAAGCCUUACAUGGUUCACGUUGUGGGACCUUGUGAUUCCAUUCAAUUGUGUGAUCUUGUAUAUUCAGUGCAGUAGGUCAUUGGGUUAACGAUGGAAGUAGAGACUUGACUAAUUUUCCUACCUUUCUCGAGGCCACGUAUUCACACCGUUUCUGAUAAUUUGUUUUCCUUAAACAAUGUAAUGUAGACGAUUCUUGAAUGUUAGGACACUGAACACAAUGAUCCUAUAGUGCCAGUUUAUCCCUCAGAUAUUCUUAUUCUCGCUUGUUUCUACGACAAAAUACUCUUUCUUCAAAUUUUUAUCUGUUUAAUUAUGAGAGGUUAUGUAGAUUACCAAUGAGUUCCCACCUUUCCUCUAAACAGGCUUUAUUUUCAUUGUAAUUAUUCAAUGACUGAAUUUAUCCAAAGUAACUGACAUCUAUCCAAAGUUUUUAUGUUGUCGCUAGUCUUCUUGGAUAGAUGAUGAGUCUUUCAUAAAGCCUGAUUUUCAUGGCUGUGUCUUCAUAGUGAAAAAGAGUACAUGGCUUAUUUAAUGUUCAUAAAGCAGUCCAAGGUGCCGUUUUGCACCUUGCUCUAAAGAAUCUAAUAUACUACAUAAUUUUGAGUGGGGAUGACUUGUUCUUGGUAAUCUACUCAGCAGUUCUGUAAAAACUGGAUUGCCCCUUUUUCCAGGGGUGGUCAUAUUAGGUAUUUGUUUUUCUUGGGCAAAAGGCUCUGCCUUCUGCCAAACAAACUACUAUCAGCAAGACUCAUUUUGCCUUUCUCAUAACAACUCUCUCUAUUCUCAUGUGUGCAUCUUGGGAAGAAUGACUGCUAUUCUUUUAUUUUUCUGUAGAAGUGUUGAACAAAGUGGUGAUGAUGCCCAAGGAAACUUCUAUUUAAAGUGCUCACAUCUAUUGAAUGCUAUUGAGAUAGCAAUGCUAAGCAAAUCAAUGCCCCAAUCAGAGUAUUGACUACUCUUACGGAAGUCCAAUCAUUUGAUUUUUAAGAUUUUUUUUACCUAUUAAUAUUUUACAGAAUGUUUUCUUUCAAAGAUCUAGCAUUAAAGCAUUUUAUUUUAGUCUUAUUUCAAAGCCCUACGUUGAUACAAUCAUAAUCAUUAUGUAUGAACAUAAUAAGAUCAAUAGAUAAAUGAUUUAUUUUUUCAACUAUAAACAAUGUUACAUAAAACGGAGCAAUAAUGACUGAUAAGAAAUGCCACCAGCUCAAUUAGAAUACAUUUAAUACAUUUUUAUUCUAUAGAGAUUGUAUAAACCAAUUUCGUCAUAUAGUUUGUUUAUAAAAUGGUAUGAAGAGUAAUAUGUACUCUGUGUAUUUCUGUAUCCAUAGUCUACUGCCAUCACAAUCUUAGUGGCUCAAAACAAACCAAAUUUGUGAUCCUAGGCUUUGUGUGGAUCAGGAGUCCAGCACACUGUUGGUGGGUCUACCCUCUGGUCUCCUAAGGCCGAAAUCAAUGCAUCAGUUGGUUGUGUAAGCAAAUCUUGCUGGAUGUUCAUGCAUCUCCAGAUUUUGGGACGGCAAUAGACCAUUCUAAUGGGUUCAAUAAAAAUCAUUGAUUGGUUGGGUGCAGUGGCUCACGGCUGUAAUCCCAGCACUGUGGGAGGCCGAGGAAGGCAGAUCACGAGGUCAGUAGGCUGAGACCAUCCUGGCCAACGUGGUGAAACCCCGUCUCUACUAAAAAUACAAAAAUUAGCUGGUCAUGGUGGCACGUGCCUAUGAUCCCGGCUAUUUGGGAGGCUGAGGCAGGAGAAUUGCUUGAACCAGGGAGUUGGAGGUUGCAGUGAGUUGAGAUCACGCCACUGCACUCCAGCCUGGUGACACAGCAAGACUCCAUCUCAGAAAAAAAAAAAGUUAUUAUUUUUUCCAUUUCUGUAGGUUUUUCUUAUUGUUAAAAAGAGAAGCAAUACAUUCUACCUCUUUACACGUGGAAGCAGAGAUUGAAAGCCCCGACAGCUACAUGGGGUUAUUUUCUAACAAUAUUCUACCACUUAAGCUACUUUUCUCGUAACAUCAUUAGGUCUUAGGUAAUGUCUAAAAGUUAUGCUAACUUUUAAUUUCUUUUUCAAGCAGGUUAAAUAUUUCUGAUUAUUCCCCAUGCUGUGAAGCAUUUUCUUCACUUACUCAUAAGGAUAUAACAAAGACAUAAUAUUACCUAUUGUUUCAUAAAAUACCAUUGCAAAAUGCAGGCCAUUAAAUGGAUCUAAUUUUCUUAAAUAUUCUAAAUAUAAUGAAAAAUAAGAAAUAAAUUAUGUUAAGGUAGAAGAAGAGGAAGGAAAUAAAUGUAUGUUUGGAAACGUUGUAUAUCCUGGUAAAAAAAAUUACACCAAAAAUAAUAUUUGAAAUACUAUACUGAAUGACUAUGAAAGCCAGAAGCAAGUGAUAUAACAAGACAGUGGUUAAAGAUAAAUGUUAAAUGACUUAAUUAUGGAAUACAGUUGACCCUUUAACAAUGUAGGGGUUAGGGGUGCCAACCCCUGUGCAGUUGGAAAUUCACAUAUAACUUUUAACUCCCCAAAAAAGUAACUACUGACAGACCAUGACCGGAAGCCUUAUCAAUAAUAUUAGCAGUCAAUUAACUCAUAUUUUGUAUAUUAUAUGCAUUAUAUACUAUAUUCUUUUGUUUUUCUGAGAUGGUGUCUCUCUGUGUUGCCAAGGCUGGAGUUCAGUGGCACAAUCACGGCUGACUGCAGCCUCGAGCUCCCCAGGCUCAGGUGAUCCUCCCACCUCAGCCUCCCUAGUGGCUGGGACCACAGGCGCCUGCCUGUUUUUUAUUUUUAUUUUUUAUAGAGAAGAGGCCAUGCCAUGUUGCCCAGGUUAAACUCAAACUCCUGAGCUCAAGCCAUCUGCCUACUUUGGCCUCUCAAAGUCCUGAGAUUACGGGUGUGAGCCACUGUGAUCAGAUCCUAUAUACUGUAUUUUUACAAUGAAGUAAGCUAGAGAAAAGAAAAUGUUAUCAAGAAAAUUAUAAGGAAGAUAAAAUACAUUUACAUUUUAUUAAGUGAAAGAGGAUCAUCAUUAAGCUCAUCAUCUUCCUCAUCUUCACGUUGAGUAGGCUGAGGAGGAGGAAGAAGAGGGGUUGGCCUUGCUGUCUCAGAGGUGACAGAGGUGGAGGAAAACCUGGGUAUAAGUGGACCUAUGCAGUUCAAACCCUUAUUGUUCAAGGGUCAACUGUAAUUUAUUUUCAGAUUAUGUAAAUGGAAAAAAGGAAGUAGGAGAGUGUUGAUUAAUGAGUAGUUCUUUGAACUAUCACCCCUCAGCUACCUUGUUUGUGGUUGAGAAUAAAGAUUAGAACUAUCAAAAAUGAAGAAAUUGUCAUUACUGCUGAGAGAUAAAGAGAAAUAUGGAAUGAAUUCAUAAAAGGAAAAUGGUAACCCUUAAUAAUAAGAGUACAUGUCAUGUUUGAGUUUUAUCAAAAUUCUAAGAAUCAGAGGAAUAGGUUUUUCAUCUGUAAUAGUUGAAAUAAGACUUUUUAAAAUAUUAGAUAUGCUGCUAUAAACAUUUCUACAUAGAAACAUUAACACAUGCAUACAUGAAAUAACUUUCUUAAGCAUAUUUUUACUUUAAAAUUUGUGUUGUUAUUGUUGUUUACCAAAUUCGUUUCUCUUUUGCUUUAAAGUAAUUAUGUUAAAUCAUUCAAUAUUGAACACAAUAGUCCUACUUACUUUUAGAAAAUUAUAUUCUGGGCUACACAGCUGUGUAGAACAAAAUCACACUUCCUUUUACAAAUCUUGAAUAAAUCUUAUGCAAAUUUCACAUCAAUUCUUAUUACAAAGUAGAAAUCCCAUAUAAAGAUCAUAUGCCAGAGAAUGAGUAAAGCCCAUGAAGGCAGGAAGGGUAAUUUUAUAUGACAUUGAUCUCCCUAAACCUUCCUUUGAGUACUCUACCACAGUGGGUUAGAGAUACAUCAGCUUUCUACGUCCUCUGUAACUAAUUACCACAAACUUAGUGGCUUUAAACAAAUUUAUUAUCUUUAAUUUCUGUAGGUCAAGAGGCCAGUGCUGGUCUCACCUGGUUAAGAUAAAGGCGUGGGAAGGAAUGCAUUUUUUUUUUUCAGGUUGCUCUCAGGGGAGACUCUGUAGCCUUGCCAGAUACCAAAUAUUUCUCACAUCACAUCUCUGUGAACUACUCUUCUGCCACUCACUUACAUUUUUAAUAGCUCAUGUGAUUAGGUUGGGCCUUCCUGAAUAAUUCAGGAUAAAUCUCCCUAUUUGAAGAUCUGCUCAUUAGCAAAUUUAACUGUUAUCUGCAAGAGUAUCUUUGAUUAAUUCCCUUUGUCAUGUAACAGUAGGGUAUUGUUUUAGUUUGUUAGGGUUGCCAAAAAAAGUACUACAAACUUGGCGGUAUAAACAACAUACAUGCUUCAUCUCACAAGCUCAAAUAAAUUUACAUUCUAAUAAAUGUAAAUUGAAAUAAAGAUUGGAGGCCAGAAGACAUAUCUAUGUGCCAAAGUUUUCCCCUUUUUAUAAAGAACACCUGUCACAUUGUAUUAGAGUCUACCUAAUGACCCCAUCUUAACUUGAUCGUCUGCAAAGACCAUAUUUCCAUAAAACGCAACAUUCAUAGAUAUUUGGAAUUAGGACUUUAACAUCUUUUGGAGGAAUGAAACGUACCCUUGACAUGUAUCCACAGGAGUAAUACCAGGGAUUAGGAAAUGGGAAUUUGUUGAGGUAAUUUUUCUCCCUAGCACAAGUGAUUCUGGCUACCCAAAAGAUUUCUGAGACAUAGGAAGACUGAAAGUCCAGCAAAAUAUGUGGACAUGAACUAGUUACAAUGAGCUUUCUUCAUUACUUCUAUUGAGUAAAUAUGUCUGUAUACAUUUCAGCUUGGUCUCUUUUAUACCAAGGGGAAUUAAAAGGAGUUUAGUGUGCCCAUGAGUUUGCUGGAACAUUUUCAUACCAGUGUCUUCCUUGAGUGCAUUAUAGUACUGGUGAGGAAAAUAAGUACAGGAUUCCAGGAAAACAAAUCUUAGAAAACACAAGCAAAUGCUCUGUUUCUAUUUCCUUUUCUCCAUUUUCUUCAGCUUCAGCCCUUCAAAGAUUCUGCUUGUAUUAUAUUAGGGCAAUCAACAGGUCAGUUUUUUGCAAGUUAUAUCCGGUUUGUUGAAUACUGUAAAUGUAAAAAUAUUUUACUCCAAUUUUGUGCAUGUUAGGAAUAAUUUAAUUUGAUUUUCUAUAUGAAUUGCCUAGUAGAAUACAAUAUACAAGAAGAAAUGUAAAUAAUAAAUUUGCUAUAUCUACUUUAGCCUUAUAAAUAAUUUAAUUAAAAUAAAGCAAAAUCUAUUUGGUCUAAGUAAGUCCUAGUUCAGCACACAUAAUUUUUGAUGUUUCUGAGAUGGUGAAAUAUAUAAUUAAUAUACAGCCCUCUUAUCAAGACCAAUAAAAAUUGAGCAAUAAAAUAUAAUCUGAUUGUGCCAUUAGCAAAAAUGAAUUUUUUAUAAUCUCUUAGCAACUAAAUAAUAAAUUAUUUUUCAACAGCUUUUAAUGAGAUGAAAGAUAAUCAGCAGUUGCAAUAAAGUGCUGUAACAUCCAAUUUGUAUGAGCAGUCUGUUUUCUGUGAAUAGUGAAGUCCUCAUAUCUUUCUUUGGAACUAGAAAUUAUUUAAUCACAAUCAAGAAUCAUAACAAAAUCACUUACUAAGAAACAAAUAUAUUCUCUUCACUACUAUCCUUAUCAAGACUAGUACUGUAAACAUUUAAAAA
rnacentral:lncRNA from 10 species